AUACGUAGGGGGCGAGCGUUGUCCGGAUUUACUGGGCGUAAAGGGUGAGUAGGCGGUUAUAUAUGUCAGGUGUAAGAAGCUAUGGCUUAACCAUAGUAAGCACUUGAAACUGUAUGACUUGAGUGCAGGAGAGGUAAGCGGAAUUCCUAGUGUAGCGGUGAAAUGCGUAGAUAUUAGGAGGAACACCGGUGGCGAAGGCGGCUUACUGGACUGUAACUGACGCUGAGUCACGAAAGCGUGGGUAGCAAACAGGAUUAGAUACCCUGGUAGUCCACGCCGUAAACGAUGAGUGCUAGGUGUUGGGCAGCAAUGCUCAGUGCCGAAGUAAACACAAUAAGCACUCCGCCUGGGGAGUACGUACGCAAGUAUGAAACUCAAAGGAAUUGACGGGG
rnacentral:rRNA from 1 species